rnacentral:rRNA from 1 species
UGAGGAACAUGACUUUCGGUGGGGGAUAGCCGGCCCAACGGCCGGGUAAUACCGCGUACGACCUUUUGGGGACAUCCCUGAUUGGUGAAAGCAGCAAUGCGCCGAAAGAGUGCCUCGCGGCCUAUCAGCUAGUUGGUGAGGUAACGCUCACCAAGGCGACGACGGGUAGCUGGUCUGAGAGGAUGGCCAGCCANAGUUGGGACUGAGACACCGGCCCAGACCUCCGUACGGGGAGG